rnacentral:rRNA from 1 species
AUUGAACGCUGGCGGCAUGCUUUACACAUGCAAGUCGAACGGCAGCGCGGGCUUCGGCCUGGCGGCGAGUGGCGAACGGGUGAGUAAUGCAUCGGAACGCGCCCAGUAGUGGGGGAUAGCCCGGCGAAAGCCGGAUUAAUACCGCAUACGACCUGAGGGUGAAAGCGGGGGACCGAAAGGCCUCGCGCUAUUGGAGCGGCCGAUGUCGGAUUAGCUAGUUGGUGGGGUAAAGGCUUACCAAGGCGACGAUCCGUAGCUGGUCUGAGGGGACGACCAGCCACACUGGGACUGAGACACGGCCCAGACUCCUACGGGAGGCAGCAGUGGGGAAUUUUGGACAAUGGGGGCAACCCUGAUCCAGCCAUGCCGCGUGCGGGAAGAAGGCCUUCGGGUUGUAAACCGCUUUUGUUCGGGAAGAAAUCCUCUGGGCUAAUACCCCGGGGGGAUGACGGUACCGGAAGAAUAAGCACCGGCUAACUACGUG